rnacentral:rRNA from 1 species
CAUGUCCUUUAGAAUUUAAUUUAAGGUCUAGCCUGCCCACUGAAAUUAAUUUUAAAUGGCCGCAGUAAUUUGACUGUGCAAAGGUAGCAUAAUCAUUAGUUUUUUAAUUGAAAGCUUGUAUGAAAGGUUGGACGAGGUAAAAUCUGUCUCUAAUUAAUUUAAUUUAGAAUUUAACUUUUAAGUUAAAAGGCUUAAAUAUAAUUAAAAGACGAGAAGACCCUAUAGAUCUUUAUAAUUUAUUUAUUAAAUUUAAUUAAGAAUUUUUAAAAUUUUAUUAAUUUAAUUAUUUUAUUGGGGUAAUGUAAAGAUUAAAUUAAUUCUUUUUUUUUAUUAACAUUAAUUUAUGAUUUUAUGAUCCAAUUUUAUUGGCUAUAAGAUUAAGUUACCUUAGGGAUAACAGCGUUAUUUUUUUAGAGAGUUCUUAUCGAUAAAAAAGUUUACGACCUCGAUGUUGGAUUAAAGAUUAUUUUAGGCGCAGAAGUUUAAAAAUUUUGGUCUGUUCGACCAUUGAAUCUUUACAUGAUCUGAGUUCAGACCGGUGUAAGCCAGGUCGGUUUCUAUCUUUAAUAAAUUAAAAUAUUUUAGUACGAAAGGACCAAUUAUUUAAUAUAAAAUAUUUAAAUUUUGAUUAUUAUU